GCGACUUUAGCUCAGUUGGGAGAGCGUUAGACUGAAGUUCUAAAUGUCCCCCGUUCGAUCCGGGAAGUCGCA
rnacentral:tRNA from 1 species